rnacentral:rRNA from 1 species
UACGUAGGGGGCUAGCGUUGUCCGGAAUCAUUGGGCGUAAAGAGCGUGUAGGCGGCCCGGUAAGUCCGCUGUGAAAGUCCAGGGCUCAACCCUGGGAUGCCGGUGGAUACUGUCGGGCUCGAGUCCGGAAGAGGAGUGUGGAAUUCCUGGUGUAGCGGUGAAAUGCGUAGAUAUCGGGAGGAACACCAGAGGCGAAGGCGGUUACCUGGACAGUUACUGACGCUCAGGCACGAAAGCAUGGGGAGCAAAAGGG